rnacentral:pre_miRNA from 1 species
CAUUCGCACCUGUAUCUUGCUGAACCGUUUCCAGAUUUCAUUUCCGGUUGAGCAAAAUUUCAGGUGUGUGAGAAA